GGACCCGCACAAGCAGCGGAGCAUGUGGUUUAAUUCGAAGCAACGCGAAGAACCUUACCAAGGCUUGACAUCCCUCUGACCGGGACUUAAUCGUCCCUUUCCUUCGGGACAGAGGAGACAGGUGGUGCAUGGUUGUCGUCAGCUCGUGUCGUGAGAUGUUGGGUUAAGUCCCGCAACGAGCGCAACCCUUGUCAUUAGUUGCCAUCAGGUUAAGCUGGGCACUCUAGUGAGACUGCCGGGGAUAACUCGGAGGAAGGUGGGGAUGACGUCAAAUCAUCAUGCCCCUUAUGUCUUGGGCUACACACGUGCUACAAUGGCCGGUACAGAGUGAAGCAAAGCCGCGAGGUGGAGCAAAUCCCCAAAACGGUCCCAGUUCGGAUUGUAGGCUGCAACUCGCCUACAUGAAGUCGGAGUUGCUAGUAAUCGCGAAUCAGAAUGUCG
rnacentral:rRNA from 1 species